UAAUAAUCACCUUAAGAACUAUUGCAUGUUUAUAUUAAAACCUUACUUUUUGUAGCUGCGAGCAAACGAAGAUAACCAAGUACUGAAAAGGAUACUAGAAAUAAAUGAAAAAUUAAUUUAAAAUUAUAAGGUUAACCCUCAUGCCUUUUGCAUAAUGAUUUAAUUAGAAAUUACCUAAUAGAUAGUUAACAUUAGCUACCCCGAAAUUAAAUGAUCUACUCUGGGCCCAGUACAAACUGACUCAACUAGUUUAUGUUGCAAUAUGAUUAGGAGAGCCCAGAGUAGAAGUGAUAUGCUAACCGCAUUUAAUUCUAGCUGGUUACUUAAGAAAUGAAUAUAAGUUCAAGUGUAGCACCUUGCGCCACUCAAACGAAUCGGAACAUGCUGAUUCGUUUACUUACCAACAAAUAUCACCUAGAAAUAAACUCCGAGUAACUUUACUGUAGACUUAAAAGCAGCCAUCAACUAACGAUAGCGUUAAAGCUUAAAUUUCAUUAAAAGAAAGACUUUUAGUUUGGUAUUAAGUAAUCCUUAAUUGGGACAUCAUCUGUUAAAAUGCGUAGAUUCAACUGUAUCCCAAUAUUAGUGUGUCAAAUAUUACACCUACAAUUUAUGUUCAAGAACUAAAUAAACGUCUGACUAACAAAAGCAUAUGUUGGGGAUUAUUAUACUAGAGAAAGGAACUCGGCAAAUAAUAAGCUCGCCUGUUUACCAAAAACAUCGCUUUUAGAUAACUAUUAAAAGUCUUAUCUGCCCGGUGUACUAUUAACGGCCGCGGUAUCUUGACUGUGCUAAGGUAGCAUAAUCACUUGCCCUUUAAAUGGGGGAAUGUAUGAAUGAUUAGACGAAGUUUAAGCUGUCUUUCCCUUGAUAAUCGAGAUUUCAUUGCUUGUGAAAAUGCGAGCAGACACUUAAAGGACGAGAAGACCCUGUUGAGUUUCUGAGCGUAACAAAAGUACAUAUUAACUAAGUAACACUACAUAAAACAUAGUGCCUAAAGAGAGCUCUUUGGCUGGGGUGGCACGCAAAGAAAUUAAGCUUUCCGUAAAUAUCUUGGAGUUAAAGACUUCUUAGGUCAAUAACUCUUCUACCGACCCGCUACUAGCGAUUCAAAGACCAAAUUACCACAGGGAUAACAGCGUAAUUCUUUUUGAGAGCUCAAAUUGACAAAAGAGUUUGCGACCUCGAUGUUGGAUCAAGACUCCUGGUGGUGCAACCGUUACCGCAGGUUUGCCUGUUCGGCGAUUAAAAUCUUACGUGAUCUGAGUUCAGACCGUCGUAAGACAGGUUAGAUUCUAUCCUUAAUUUAAUGCAUUCAGUACGAAAGGACCAAAAGCAUUUGAUUUUAAUUUUAUACUAAAUCAUC
rnacentral:rRNA from 1 species